rnacentral:rRNA from 1 species
UACGUAGGGGGCAAGCGUUGUCCGGAUUUACUGGGCGUAAAGAGCGCGUAGGCGGAACGUUAAGUCCGGUUUGAAAGCCCCCGGCUCAACCGGGGAGAGUGGCUGGAAACUGGCGUUCUUGAGGGCGAUAGAGGAGUGUGGAAUUCCUGGUGUAGCGGUGAAAUGUGUUGAUAUCAGGAGGAACACCCAUGGCGAAGGCAGCAAACUGGGCAUCAACUGACGCUGAGGCGCGAAAGCGUGGGUAGCAAACAGG